AGGCAUUGCUGGAAAUACAGCAGGUCUGUGGUCGACAAGAAGGUAUCUUUCCUCUAUUUCUCACCCUCCACAAACAGAAGAGCCUUUUCCAAGAACUGUCAGUGACAAUGGGCCAGACCACCUGAUGGCAGGCAAUCUGGAUUUAAGUGACUGCAGACGUCUAUAUGUGGCAACGUUUCUGAAGAAGCUCCUCAGAUGUUAACACUACAAGCAGAA
rnacentral:lncRNA from 1 species